rnacentral:rRNA from 1 species
UCCAGUUGAUCCUGCUGGAGGGUACUGCUAUCGGAGUACGAUUAAGCCAUGCAAGUCUGCUGGUGGACUUCCACCGGCGGCGAACGGCUGAGUAACACGUAGUCAAUCUGCCCUAAGGACGGGAAUACCCUCGGGAAACUGAGGAUAACUCCCGAUAACCCAUUUAUGCUGGAAUGCUUAAUGAGUUAAAUCUUUGGCGAAUUGGAGCCAAUGGGCCUUAGGAUGAGACUGCGUCUGAUUAGGUUGUUGGUGAGGUAACGGCUCACCAAGCCGAUAAUCAGUAGGGGCAAUGGGAGUUGGAGCCCCCAGAAGGGCACUGAGACAAGGGCCCUAGUCCUACGGGAUGCAGCAGGCGCGGAACCUUUGCAAUGCGCGAAAGCGUGACAGGGGAACUCCGAGUGGUGAGGGCAAAUUGUCCUCAUCUUUUAGCCAAUUUAAAAAGUUGGCAGAAUAAGAUCUGGGUAAGACCAGUGCCAGCCGCCAUGCGCGUGAUUUUCGCACGCACGGCACGGUACGCGGUAAUACUGGCAGAGCGAGUGGUACCCACGAAUAUUGGGUCUAAAGAGUCCGUAGCGGGUCGGUUAAGUCCACUGUGAAAUCUGGCAGCUUAACUGUCAGGAGUGCAGUGGAUACUGGUCGGCUUGGGAGCGGGGGAGGUCAGGAGUACUUGUGGGGUAGUGGUAAAAUACUGUAAUCCUACAAGGACUACCAGUGGCGAAGGCGCCUGACCAAAACGCGUCCGACCGUGAGGGACGAAGGCUAGGAGAACGAAUCGGAUUAGAUACCCGAGUAGCCCUAGCAGUAAAUUAUGCAGACUGUGGUGUUGCGCCGACUUCGUGUCGGCGCAGUGCUGUAGCGUAGGUGUUAAGUCUGCCACCUGGGGAGUACGGCCGCAAGGUUGAAACUUAAAGGAAUUGGCGGGGGAGCACCACAAGGCGUGGAUGCUGCGGUUCAAUUGGAUACAACGCCGGGAACCUUACCUGGGGAGACGGCAGGAUGACGGUCAGACUGAAGAUCUUACCCGACGAGCCGAGAGGUGCUGCAUGGCCAUCGUCAGCUCGUGGUGCGAACUGUCAGGUUAAGUCCUGUAACGAGCGAGACCCUCGUGUACUGUUGCUAACUCUGCCUCCGGGCGGGGUGCACACUGUAUGGACUGCCCGUGUUAAAUGGGAGGAAGGAGGGGGCGACGGUAGGUCAGUAUGGCCUGAAUCUCUCAGGGCUACACGUGGCAUACAAUGCUUAUGACAAUGGGCUGCUACCCCGAGAGGGGAUGCUAAUCUCUCAAACAUAAGCUCAGUUCAGAUUGAGGGCUGAAACUCGCCCUCAUGAAGCUGGAAUGCCUAGUAAUCGCGUGUCAACAUCGCGCGGUGAAUACGUCCCCGCUCCUUGCACACACCGCCCGUCAAGUCACCCAAACGGGGUUUUGGUGAGGCAGCCUCUUAUUGGGGCUUUCGAACCAGGAUUUCGUGAGGGGGGCUAAGUCGUAACAAGGUAUCCGUAGGGGAACCUGCGGAUAGAUCACCUCCAAAACAA